rnacentral:rRNA from 1 species
UACAGAGGUCCCGAGCGUUGUUCGGAUUUACUGGGCGUAAAGGGUGCGUAGGUGGCGAUCCAAGUCGGGUGUGAAAUCUCCGGGCUUAACCCGGAGGGUGCGCCCGAAACUGGCUUGCUAGAGGGUGGGAGGGGAGACUGGAAUUCUCGGUGUAGCAGUGAAAUGCGUAGAUAUCGAGAGGAACACCGGUGGCGAAGGCGAGUCUCUGGACCACUCCUGACACUGAGGCACGAAAGCCGGGGGAGCAAACAGG